UACGAAGGGUGCAAGCGUUACUCGGAAUUACUGGGCGUAAAGCGUGCGUAGGUGGUUUGUUAAGUCUGCUGUGAAAGCCCCGGGCUCAACCUGGGAAUGGCAGUGGAUACUGGCAAGCUAGAGUGCGGUAGAGGGGUGUGGAAUUCCCGGUGUAGCGGUGAAAUGCGUAGAGAUCGGGAGGAACACCAGUGGCGAAGGCGGCCUGCUGGGCAGUUGCUGACACUGAGGCGCGACAGCGUGGGGAGCAAACAGG
rnacentral:rRNA from 1 species